GCAGGCCUAACACAUGCAAGUCGAACGGUAACAUUUCUAGCUUGCUAGAAGAUGACGAGUGGCGGACGGGUGAGUAAUGCUUGGGAACUUGCCUUUGCGAGGGGGAUAACAGUUGGAAACGACUGCUAAUACCGCAUAAUGUCUUCGGACCAAACGGGGCUUAGGCUCCGGCGCAAAGAGAGGCCCAAGUGAGAUUAGCUAGUUGGUAAGGUAACGGCUUACCAAGGCGACGAUCUCUAGCUGUUCUGAGAGGAAGAUCAGCCACACUGGGACUGAGACACGGCCCAGACUCCUACGGGAGGCAGCAGUGGGGAAUAUUGCACAAUGGGGGAAACCCUGAUGCAGCCAUGCCGCGUGUGUGAAGAAGGCCUUCGGGUUGUAAAGCACUUUCAGUUGUGAGGAAAAGUUAGUAGUUAAUACCUGCUAGCCGUGACGUUAAUAACAGAAGAAGCACCGGCUAACUCCGUGCCAGCAGCCGCGGUAAUACGGAGGGUGCGAGCGUUAAUCGGAAUUACUGGGCGUAAAGCGCACGCAGGCGGUUUGUUAAGCUAAAUGUGAAAGCCCCGGGC
rnacentral:rRNA from 1 species